rnacentral:misc_RNA from 1 species
GAUGAAGAACGUAGCGAAAUGCGAUAAGUAAUGUGAAUUGCAGAAUUCAGUGAAUCAUCGAAUCUUUGAACGCACAUUGCGCCCCCCAGUAUCCUGGCGGGCAUGCCUGUUCGAGCGUCAUUUCAACCAUCAAGCCCUGCUUGUGUUGGGGUCCUGCGGCUGCCCGCAGGCCCUGAAAACCAGUGGCGGGCUCGCUAGUCACACCGAGCGCAGUAGCACAUCUCGCUCAGGGCGUGCGGCGGGCUCCAGCCGUUAAAGCACCCACCUUUCGCAAGGUUGACCUCGGAUCAGGUAGGAAUACCCGCUGAACUUAAGCAUAUCAAUAAGCGGAGGA